rnacentral:lncRNA from 1 species
UCCGGGCAUAGUGGCGCAUGCCUGUAAUCCUAGCUACUCAGGAGGCUGGGGCACGAGAAUCGCUUGAACCCCGGAGGCAGAGGUUGCAGUGAGCCGUGAUCGCACCACUGCACUCCAGCCUGGGCGACAGAGUGAGACUUUGUCUCAAAAAAAAAAUUAGUCUCACUUUGUCGCCCAGGCUGGAGUGCAGUGGUGCGAUCAUGGCUCACUGUAUAACCUCUGCCUCCCAGGGUCAAGGGAUUCUCCUGCC